UUAACUUCAGCUGUCUUAAUUUUUCCCUAAUUUGCAAUCACCCUUGAGAGUAGCCUUUCUCUUUUGUGUUCACAGAGGCCAAUCAGGCCUUAAUUCUCCUCUGUUCUUCAAUAAGACACUGCUAUAGUCAUUGUGUAGAGGCCAGUCCCAUGUUCCUAUGCCUCUGGCCACCAACCAACAACAUUGUGUCCUAUCCUGAGGCUACAUUCUGUCAAGACCAGUACAGCACUGAGGAGCAGCAGAUUGCCUUCCCUGGGGAACAGAAUGCAACCCGGGAUCUAGAGAGCUGUCACAUUCCAAGAAAUAUUUAAAUUGUGCUGAUUUUCUUCUGGAGAACUGAGCCCAGGGAAUGAAACUCUCCAUCAAGUCAUAGCUUUGCGGGCAAUAGAUCAGAGGAUAUUGCCAGUUUCCUAAUGGAUUAUUGUUAUCGGGCAGGUUUUCUCUGAAGGUACGUAGUUAUUUUCUCAAUUCAUUACCCUCUCCUAUUUAUCAGGUAAUAAUCUAAUGAGCUGGGGAUCUAAACCUGUAAAAAAGAGAAAGAUGUCAAGUAGUCAGUAUUGACUGAAGAA
rnacentral:lncRNA from 1 species